CCAGACUCCUACGGGAGGCAGCAGUGGGGAAUAUUGGGCAAUGGGCGCAAGCCUGACCCAGCAACGCCGCGUGAAGGAAGAAGGCUUUCGGGUUGUAAACUUCUUUUCUCAGGGACGAAGAAAGUGACGGUACCUGAGGAAUAAGCCACGGCUAACUACGUGCCAGCAGCCGCGGUAAUACGUAGGUGGCAAGCGUUAUCCGGAUUUACUGGGUGUAAAGGGCGUGUAGGCGGGGAAGCAAGUCAGAUGUGAAAACCACGGGCUCAACCUGUGGCCUGCAUUUGAAACUGUUUUUCUUGAGUACUGGAGAGGCAGACGGAAUUCCUAGUGUAGCGGUGAAAUGCGUAGAUAUACGGAGGAACACCAGUGACGAAGGCGGCCUGCUGGACAAUAACUGACGCUGAGGCGCGAAAGCGUGGGGAGCAAACAGGAUUAGAUACCCGAGUA
rnacentral:rRNA from 1 species